rnacentral:rRNA from 1 species
GACGAACGCUGGCGGCGUGCUUAACACAUGCAAGUCGAACGGAAAGGCCUCUUUCGGGGGGUACUCGAGUGGCGAACGGGUGAGUAACACGUGAGUAACCUGCCCUUGACUUUGGGAUAACUUCAGGAAACUGGGGCUAAUACCGGAUAGGAGCUCCUGCUGCAUGGUGGGGGUUGGAAAGUUUCGGCGGUUGGGGGUGGACUCGCGGCUUAUCAGCUUGUUGGUGGGGUAGUGGCUUACCAAGGCUUUGACGGGUAGCCGGCCUGAGAGGGUGACCGGCCACAUUGGGACUGAGAUACGGCCCAGACUCCUACGGGAGGCAGCAGUGGGGAAUAUUGCACAAUGGGUGGAAGCCUGAUGCAGCAACGCCGUGUGCGGGAUGACGGCCUUCGGGUUGUAAACCGCUUUCGCUCAUGACGAAGCUUUGUGUGACGGUAGUGGGUAAAGAAACACCGGCUAACUACGU